UACGUAGGGGGCAAGCGUUGUCCGGAAUCAUUGGGCGUAAAGAGCGUGUAGGCGGCUCGAUAAGUCCGCUGUGAAAGCCAGGGCUCAACCCUGGAAGGCCGGUGGAAACUGUCGGGCUAGAGUCCGGAAGAGGCGAGUGGAAUUCCCGGGUGUAGCGGUGAAAUGCGCAGAUAUCAGGAGGAACACCGAUGGCGAAGGCAGGUCUCUGGGCAUUAACUGACGCUGAGGAGCGAAAGCAUGGGGAGCGAACAGG
rnacentral:rRNA from 1 species